UACGUAGGGGGCUAGCGUUGUCCGGAAUCAUUGGGUGUAAAGAGCGUGUAGGCGGUCCGGUAAGUCCGCUGUGAAAGUCGGGGGCUCAACCCUCGAAUGCCGGUGGAUACUGUCGGGCUAGAGUACGGAAGAGGCGAGUGGAAUUCCUGGUGUAGCGGUGAAAUGCGCAGAUAUCAGGAGGAACACCAAUUGCGAAGGCAGCUCGCUGGGACGUCACUGACGCUGAGACGCGAAAGCGUGGGGAGCAAACAGG
rnacentral:rRNA from 1 species